CAAUAAAUUCAAGGUCCGCCGUGCCCAAAUGAAGAUUUUUAGCAAUGGUCCGCAUAAUGCAACUUAGAGUGUCGCGAGUGUCGCUGUGUGCUGUGAGAGCAGGCGGUUUCCGCAAUGGGCGUACGACGUGGGCCGCCGGCAGAUAGUUGAGUCUGCUAUCCAUAUUUCUUUCUGUCUUCCUCGUUCUUCUUUUUGCUGGCCUAUGAGCUUCCUGACUCGUCCGGGCGUUACGAGCUCAAAAGAAGCUUGUAAAAGACAAACAAACCAUUCAAUCCCAAAAACAAUGAGAAGCUGUACUUUCUAUGUAUGACUCCCCCUGGCCACUGUGCGGAGAUAGGUAUCGUGCUUGCAGGAAUGGAGGUCAUUGUAGCCUUGUAGUAAGUCCACCGCGGAUGUAGAUGGGAGCAGAGAAGUUUGACAACUGAAAGCUUCUUCCAAAUGUUAGUCUUAUGAUGUAGUCGGUAGCUUUAUCGAUUGCCAUCAGUUCUAAUCUAGCGCCGUUGUUUAUUUUUAACAACCGAGAUGCGCCAACUGCCCGGAAGGCGGGCGAAGCACGCACGGAAAACGCUUACGACCAGUAGAGUAAGUCAGUAGGAUGCGCAUAAGUUCGCAAGCAGGAAUGUAAUGCGGGCUUCGAGCACUAAGCAUUCAUUCAAUUUGCAUCGCCAGCCUCGGGCUGAGUCAAAGCUGACGGAAGAGGAAGAAGGGGGCAAGAAAGAUGUGGAAGCGGAGCAGCUGCAGAGCAUUGCAGGAAGUGCGAAGCCACGGCAAGGCAUUAUUAUAUUAAGAAUCUGAAAAAGUGGUUUGCAGCAUACUCUGGACCUUUGCAUUUACGCCCGUUGCAAGGCGUCACGGCCUGAAGCCAAGCACUGCCAAGUGCAUGCAGAGCGGCGGAGGGCAACAGUGCAUGAAAGACAAAUUGGAGUACGCACGAUGCAAGUGUACGAGAAGCUGCUUGGCAAGCGUCGAAAAGGGUGUGUGGUCGGCCUGCGAUGGUUGCUUAGCCCGUCUGGGCGAUCUGGGCGGACAUCCGUCGCUGUGUGGAUGCUCUGACCAUUGCGUUGGUCUGGCCGAGGGCCAACUCAUGACCAAAUCAGCUCGUUGAGGAUCUUCUAGCAAAGCAUGGAGGCAAGAUCAAUACCUCGACGUGGCAACAUAUUAUGACGUUACGGUCGUUCGCUCGCUGAUGCCCGCCACCCGGAAUGCGCGCGAUGGCACCGGAUAGGCGUCCGACUGGAAGACAAACACAUCCCCGAUAAGAGUUAUAUGAUUGAUAGGCAAGUAUUCUCACAUAGUUUUGAGUCCUGACAAACUGGAUACACUGCAAUGGCCGCCACCAUCUGAGUUGCAAACCUACCGCUGGCGGUAGCACGUCCGAUUGCAAAUACAAUAAAAAUAUUACUUAAGAAAUAUAAGCGUGAGGUACGUGUCGAAUAUGUGCAAAAUCUAUCCUGCUUAAAUGAAAACCUCGUCAGGCUAAUCGUUCAACGAAGCAUCCAGGCUUUCAAGGCAUAAUACUACUAAUCAUCUCAAACAAUAUAAUUCAACUAUAUCCUCUUUAUUACAUUGUCGGCUCCCUGCAACACUUUCCGCUAACAGGCGUCGUACUAGUGUUGCAUGUUGCUGUUUGAUUGCACGCUUACCUAGCAAUCUAUAAUUACUGCCAAUCCUCUCAAUUUGUAUUUGUGUAUAGCAUUGUAUAUUUAUUUAUGAUCUUACCUGGUUCGUGGACAAGUUACAGGUCGCUCUUACCAGGGCAGAAUGGUGGCCAUGCCUCAGCUAUAAGCUAUAAUAAUACCUGAUUGCUUAUAAAGCUUAUUUUCCGAAACAUUCUCGGUAUGGCAAGGAGGAUAACUCUCCCGAUGGCUACCAUGGCAGUCGUUGGCGAGGGAAGGCCGGCAGCAGGGUGCGCAUCAAAUGGCUUUAUUGCCCAGAUUAAGAAGCGUAUUGCAAAAGUCGCAUUAAUUUACGGAUUACGCCUUUUUGCUAGCAAGCACUCUCCAACUUCCAUGCAACGCGCAGGUCGGACGCGCCCGUUGCAAAGAGCCUGCCAUCAUCGCCUCCACUCAUGAAUAGGGCAGCGCUAUGGAUUAUAAUUUUGGCAUUACUGGCUGACUGCGUCGCGUCUGUGACAACCUCCGUCGUUCCGGACUGCGCAGCAGCGGAACGCGUACUUUUGCCCAGCAAGCAGCCAUCCACUUCUGGCCCCUUGACCGACAUCGGAUUUUCCGGAAGCCCGGGAUUAGCCACAAUUUAUGUCAAUAGCCCCGGCAGCGGCGACAUCACAGUCAAGGUCAACUUCGCGCAAACCCACGAUCCAGGUCAACGAGCCUCUCCACCUGCGCUCCCACAAGCUUAUUGGGGACUGUUCACAGAGGAGCAGUACAUGCAAAAAUCGUAUGUGAGGACCGCAGGCGGCGCGAGUAAUAGCUCUUGGUCUUGCAACGAGCCUACCUUGUCUUCGAGCCAGCCUUUGUCCCUCGGGUCAUCCACCUUCAACGUCACGUACGGAAGAGAUCAACUUCGGAAGAUCGGCCUGAAGUCUUGUGUCGAGUCUAAGUUUGUCUUUGUGGCCGUUGUGGAGUCGUACGGCCUUGUACGGGAUGCGGACGGUGAGCCCGCCUGGCUUAUCUACAAACAGUACACCAGCUGGAAAGAAAUAUCCGACUGCUCCGGGCCCAAAUUGAGCUUCGCGCCCUUCUCGCUGACCUACUGUCCGUGCUCUCCUCCGCCUCGCCCCCCAUCUCCACCAUCGCCGCCGCCACCCCUUCCGCCAUCGCCAUGCGGCACCUACAAUCUCCUGCGCAACGGCAUCCCGGUCUCAAACAUUACAGGCACAGUACUGUACGACAGGAAUGAAGCCGUACAAAUGUCAGACCCCUUCCUGCGUGAUGAUGUCAUGAUCAGCUCCGCCGCUCAGCUGUCGUUCAAAGCAGAUGCCCCUGGAGUCGCCAGUUUGGACUUAUUUCUGGAUCUGCCCGCCGGUACGGAAGUGUACUGGCAGCUGUACAACGAGGAGUUGUACGACCAAGCCGUAUGGGUUACGGAUUACCUGACUGCGGAAGAGUACUGCAUGGGAAAUCCGUACUAUUCCAUCGAAGCUCGUCAGGUUUUGGACGCACCAGCAUCCCGUGUCAGCAUCCCCAUCUCCGCAUCCGACCUCCUCGCCCUGGGCCUCAGCCCCUGCUCCGACUUCGCCUUCAUCUUGGCGGUCCGCAUCCACCUUCCCUCGGGCGGGGACUACUACGUGGCCUGGGACUGGGGCGGAUGCAACCGGGAUGGAUCCGACCAGCUGUGGCCGCUGGCAAGGCUAGGACUGCACCACUGCCCGUGCCCAUCACCCCCCGAUGGCACCGCCCCCAACCACGGUCCUAUGCAAUCUCCGGCGUCCGGCUCCCCCUCGCCGCCUCAAGCCAUGAAGGACUGCUCUCUAGCCGAGAAGGUCUCCCUUCCGGGCGACGCAACGUUCAUCGCGGGGAACCUAACAGACCUCCAGAUCCGCGGAAGCAGCCCUGGCGUCGCCACGCUCUACACCAACACGCCCAACCUCGGUGACAUCACCUUCACCAUCUCCUUCGCGCAGACCGCUCCGUCCGGCAAUCGCACGACUGCUGCACCCGCGCCGCCAAAGGCCUCCUGGGGCUUAUUCUCCUCGGAGGAGUUCAUGCGGCUAUCGCUGCAAUUCGCUGCGACAAACCGAUCGGCGGAGGGUUUGGGAUCCGCGGGACCGAGUACCACCUGCACCGAGCCGAGCCUACCCUGGAGUCGUACCCUGGACGACCAGACGUCAUCGUUUAAUGUCACCAUGACCAGCUCAGAUCUCAGGCUCGCAGGGUUGCAGACAUGCUCCGAAACCCAGCUGGUGUUCAUGGCCCUAGUGGAAUCGUACGGACUCGUUCAAAGCGAUCUGCGGUGGGAGCUGUACCGGC
rnacentral:lncRNA from 1 species